rnacentral:rRNA from 1 species
UGUGGGAGCAAGAUCCCGGAGAUGGAUUCUGAGACAUGAAUCCAGGCCCUACGGGGCGCAGCAGGCGCGCAAACUUUACAAUGCGAGCAAUCGUGAUAAGGAAACCCUGAGUGCCUGUCGAUGCAGGCUGUUCAUAUAUCUAAAUCAUAUGUGAAGAAAGGGCAGGGCAAGACCGGUGCCAGCCGCCGCGGUAAUACCGGCUGCUCGAGUGAUGGCCACUAUUACUGGGUUUAAAGCGUCCGUAGCUUGACUGUUAGGUCUCUUGGGAAAUCUU